rnacentral:tRNA from 1 species
AGUCUUAUAUUCAUACUGUAUGAUAAUAGAAUGCAAUUCUAUAGGAAUAAUUAAAUUAUUAAGGCUU